AUAUAUAUAUAUAUAUAUAUAUAUUUUUUUUUUGUUAAAAAGCCACAGAUAAAUGAAAUCACGACCACUCUGUCAUGAUUUCACAGCCGGCCCUGUGGCUGUAGGCGUGGGACUAAGCUUCCUGCGCUCGGAGGAGUAGCUAUUCAGAAGUGAUAAUUGGUGCACUGUAUCUUUAAAGGUUAAAACCCCUUUCAAAAAAGGUCUGGACUCAUAGUGGCAAAGACCAGCGAGGCAUGGGUUGGCUCCGGCUUCAGCAAACAGCUGCUGAUUAGAUUCCGUGUCUGCGGGCUGAAUUUAUUCCGUGCCUUUCAGCAGCAGGAAUCCAAGAGGGAUGCUACUGUUUGGGUUUCUGAUCGUGAUUUAUAUUUAUUCAGAGGAAUAACAGAGGGUGGAUCUGUUCCGGCGCGAGCAUGCUCACAAGCAGCCGACUCUCCCAUUAUCCGGCCGCCUAGUUUGGGGCUCCAAUGCCCGUGCACACUCCGUGUGCUUAUGUGUGUGUACAAACACGCGUGCAUGCCUGGAUGGACAGAGGCACGCACAGUGCCCUCAAUGAGGUCUCUACCCCUUACUUGAAACAGGUGUUCAGGAAAAAACCGCCCCAAGCCCCGACUGGCCGGAGUAUUUCAUGAAGAAGGGGCUGUGGAUCGGUGGGGUCCGAGGACGCGGGAGCAGCGUGCCACCCCGAGGCCGAAGUCUGGUGUCUCGGAUUUGGCUCUGCGUUGCCCACUCCUGCUGGAUCUUGUCCAGUCGAGGGACAUAAACAUCCUGGCACCUUCCUGAAGAAUGGGAAGAAAGGAGAUUCUGGAAGCACAGACUGAGCCGCCGUGCUGGAGGCCGAGGAAGCGGACGCCGGAAGGGAACGCUCCCACACCCCCAGGAUCCCCGAGGAGAGCCGGCGCUGGAGGCAUGCAGGCCCAAGAAGGGGAGAAAUGCCAGCCGUGACCACGAGCCACCCCCAGCAGUUCCCGAGCAGUCCGCCCAGGGCCAGCGCGUGGAGGACGCACAGCGGCUCGCUCGCAGUUUGCAAUGGCCAAAGCUGGAACGGAGGCCACAGAGGCCGAAGAAGCAGCGGGGGUCCACAAUUUUCAGAAUAGCCCUGAGAAAACCAUCUCCCGAAUUACAGCCAGUUUUGCCAACAAAUGUUGUGAGAAGAAGGCCCCGCUGGGUCCCAUCGUGCCCGGAUGCCAUUCCUCAUGGACCGUGAAGAUCUCGCCUCUGCCUUUCUAAGCAGGUUGCUCUCGUUUCAGCUCUGGUAGUCCUGGGUGACCUUCUCCAGGAGGAAGUGUGAACUUUGUUUCUCUCUGAGUCCUGGAUUAAACUGUCUCACCCGAAACUGGCUCAUUUUAGGCUAGAAGCACCUCUAAACGUUGCUGUUUCUCAGAAGUUGCCAAGUUGAUGGCACACUUGUGUCAUAUGUGAGCGGGGGUCCUCUUCUGGCCUG
rnacentral:lncRNA from 1 species